rnacentral:sRNA from 1 species
UCCCUCCUGAAGCUGCAUGCUCAGUUGAAGAGGAAGACCUUUCCUGACAGAGGAAGG